rnacentral:rRNA from 1 species
CCUACGGGCGGCAGCAGUGAGGAAUUUUGGUCAAUGGACGAGAGUCUGAACCAGCCAAGUAGCGUGAAGGAUGACUGCCCUAUGGGUUGUAAACUUCUUUUAUAUGGGAAUAAAAUGUUCCACGUGUGGGAUUUUGUAUGUACCAUAUGAAUAAGGAUCGGCUAACUCCGUGCCAGCAGCCGCGGUAAUACGGAGGAUCCGAGCGUUAUCCGGAUUUAUUGGGUUUAAAGGGGGCGUAGGUGGAUUGUUAAGUCAGUUGUGAAAGUUUGCGGCUCAACCGUAAAAUUGCAGUUGAAACUGGCAGUCUUGAGUACAGUAGAGGUGGGCGGAAUUCGUGGUGUAGCGGUGAAAUGCUUAGAUAUCACGAAGAACUCCGAUUGCGAAGGCAGUUCACUGGACUGCAACUGACACUGAGGCUCGAAAGUGUGGGUAUCAAACAGGAUUAGAUACCCCUGUAGUC